rnacentral:lncRNA from 1 species
CCCCUCCCCUUUCCCAGGUGAUUGCGUUUGGGUGCUGGGUGGGGACAAAAGGUAUAUGAGCCCCAGGCAUGCCAUCAGAGAGCUCCUUCUGCCUGGGCUGCUCUCUGGGGUAAGUGCUUUGCUUUUCCUUCAGUCAGUUGCAGGGUUCUCUAGGCAGGCUGGAGCCUAUGGAUUUCUGGAUUUUAAGUGCUUGGAAUUCACUUAGUAGAGGGAUGUUUAGUAGGGGCUGCUGGCUCACUGUUUUUUUGGGAUGGUGGGAUACUCUUCUGUUUUUGAGCUAUAUUUUAAUAUCUAGAUGUAUAAACCCACUUGUGUAACUCUCCAGAGGACUAAAACCAGCUUGACUGCAUGCUACAUGUGGCUUGGCAGUGUAGAUGCAGCAUUACUAAGAGACUGAGCAGGGUUGUAUCAGAGUCACCUCUUUCAUCUGCCGUGUUUGCUGAGCGUGGUUGGCAGGAGGAGGUGGGGAGCUCCUCAGGACUGGUGCUUUGUGCAGUCGUGGACAGGGAAGGGAAAUCCUCAUGUCACGAAGCACUGAGGGAAGGCUGCAAUGCAGUGUGCAGUGCAGGAUGUCUCAACCAGCUGCCUCUGCAGUGACUCUGGUGCGUGAUGAGCAGAGGUGGAGUGGAUGAUAGUGGCUGCACUGUUGGAGCUUGGUUUCGGAGAGGAACAGGUGAGCAGAACCGUAUGUUGCAUCAGCAGUAGUCAGCAUUGUGGAGAAGGUGGGCAUCAUGGCCGACGUGCUAGUGAAUGCUGGUACUCUGUUUUUUGCAGCUGAUGAUGAGCCUGGCAAUUGACUAAGAUGACAAUCGGUGCCUGUGUAUUUCUUGAGGUGGAAGGAAUUUACCAUCCAACAACCUGAGAGCUAAGUUGGGGGGCGCCUGGUAUUUGCAUAUCUGGGGUGGCUAAUGGGAGCUGGGAGCCAGAGCAGCAUGGAGCCAGCUGGCUGAAUAGACUUGGUGCCACUGUGAGGGUGUUUCAGGCUGGGUCACGUUCAGGCUGCUUGUGGCUGGGUCACCAGGCUAAUAGAAGCAGCGGGAUUAUUUCGUAGCGUGAGUGCGUGUGCCAGGCAGGACAGUUUCCUUCAGUUUGUCUGUCUUGUGGUGUUGCUUCUGCAGUGUGUGUUGUGAGUUAUGGUCUCCUUCGGUCUUGAUAUCCUCAUGGGUUUUGACACUGGACUGACCAGACAGGCGACUUGGUAGCUGUGCUGAAGGGCCUCAAUGCUUGUUUUGUCAUCAUGGCUCUGAUCCGAGCACUUCUUGUCUUGCAGUCGCUGCUUGAAGUGUAGAUGUGUUUCAGGUCUUGUUCAUUGUAUUCGGUUUGAGAUCACAUCUGUUUCCAUCCUCACUCUUGCAGAAGUCAUCUGGGGCACAUCAGGAGCCUUUGCUUGGGAAUUGAUUUCCUCAGUGUCUUCUUAGGGGGUUUUCACUCCCCAUCCUUCUGGUCUCUUGUCUUGAAGGCAGGCUUUUUAGGCCUCCAUCAUCCCAGUUCUGGCAGUUCUUCCAGUCACAUGUUGAGACGUUUGAGUGUCUCCUUGGGUCUGGUGUAGAGCACCUGUUCUGACUUGCUGUUGCCAUAGGGCUUCCCUCUGGGGUCACUUUUUCUUGCGCCUCGUGUUG